rnacentral:rRNA from 1 species
AGGGCUACACACGUGCUACAAUGGCGUAUACAGAGGGCAGCGAUACCGCGAGGUGGAGCGAAUCUCACAAAGUACGUCGUAGUCCGGAUUGGAGUCUGCAACUCGACUCCAUGAAGUCGGAAUCGCUAGUAAUCGCAAAUCAGAAUGUUGCGGUGAAUACGUUCCCGGGCCUUGUACACACCGCCCGUCACACCAUGGGAG